rnacentral:rRNA from 1 species
UUUCUUCGGAAAGUAAGAUCCCUGAAAGAUGAUCAGGUAGAUAGGUUUGGAGUGGAAGUGUAGCGAUACAUGGAGCGGACAAAUACUAAUCGAUCGAGGACUUAACCAAAA